rnacentral:lncRNA from 1 species
CUCUUAUUGUAGUAUAAUGGACGAUGUAAUAUUGUUUCAUCUGGUUGUUGGUAAGUAUCUCUACGUCUCCAUCUAAUCUGUUCUUUAUUGCUUUCGUCACUUUUGUCUCAUAGCUUGAAUCUCAGUUGUUAGUUGAUUAAUUCUUGCAGUAAGCUGUUGUAUCUGUUUAUUUUCUAUGGUUGUCUGAUGUUUCGGUUUUAUGGGUGACUUCUUUUCCGGUGUGGUUUCUUUCUUUGGACCUAGAUUG